AGCGAACGCUAGCGGCGGGCUUAACACAUGCAAGUCGAGCGCUUCACUUCGGUGAAGAGCGGCGGACGGGUGAGUAACACGUAGGUUACCUGCCCCUGGGUGAGGGACAACCGAGGGAAACCUCGGCUAAUACCACAUAUGGUCUACGGAUCAAAGGCUUCGGCCGCCCGGGGAUGGGCCUGCGUCCCAUUAUUUAAUCCUAGUUGGCGGGGUAACGGCCCACCAAGGGUACGAUGGGUAGCUGGUCUGAGAGGAUGAUCAGUCACACUGGAACUGAGACACGGUCCAGACUCCUACGGGAGGCAGCAGUGGGGAAUAUUGCGCAAUGGGCGAAAGCCUGACGCAGCAACGCCGCGUGGGUGAUGAAGGCCCUUGGGUCGUAAAGCCCUGUCAGGAGGGAAGAAUGAGCAGGUGGUUAAUACCCAUCUGAAGUGACGGUACCUCCAAAGGAAGCACCGGCUAACUCCGUGCCAGCAGCCGCGG
rnacentral:rRNA from 1 species